AUGCAUGCAGUUGCAGAUGCCAAUUUUGAUGUGACCACGUCCUUGACGCAUGCAACACCACUUCCUUUUGUUCCGCCGCGUGUUCUAUCUCCAGAAUCCUCCCGUCCAAUCCACACCAAUGGUUCUCGAGAAAACUCAUCCACACGCCGCUCCACCGCUCUACAUGGACGCUGCGCCGUGUUGGACGCCUGCAGGGGUGAGCCGCUGCCGGGCCGAAUGCCAUCGACGUCGUGCUGCUGGAGGGCAUCGUGGCCGCACUCGCCUGCAGGGCCACAGGUAGCCGGGCCAGACGGCACCGCUGCGUCACGCGUUGCACGCCCAGUAGUGCUUCACCGGAUGGCCUCAGAAGUCAGGGACAGCAGCGACGGGCCGAGGGUGCCGUGCGGAUCUGUGGACCGCGGCCGAGUAGUGCUUCACCGGAUGAUCGCCGCGCUAGGUGUUGUCUUCCUCGACUUCCGUCGCUCCGGGUUUGCAUCUAGCGCCGUGUUUUCGACCUCUCCGACUGAGCCACACGGUUGCCACCCACAUGCACCCCUCUGGCAUUCCCAGUCCGGCCUCGGUGCAUUUUUGUUGCCGGAUUCUAUUCUCUCUGGUUCCCUCACGGCUGCGCUUCUUUCUCUGUCGCGGCAAGAGUCGUUGUUCAGGGAUGUUACAUGGAUCUGGGUGCCGGAGCAGGUCGGGGAAUGGAGGCCUGUGAUGGACGUCGUGCAUGCAAAGGGCGGGCAGCAGCCAGUAGGCCUUGACGGUGUGAAGAUUCUUGGUGCCAAUGGCUACUUCCUGGAUGAUGAACACGAUCGCAAAGAAGCCAGGCGGCCGGUGGAGGUGGGCAUGCGGCUGCAGCAGUAUAGUUCACGACCGAGCCCUCCACAUAAGCACGCGCUGGUGCUACACGUCAUUGCAAGCACAUGGAACAUCGCUUAUGGGUCCACGGAAGAUAUUUUACCUAAUCUUGUUGUGUAUCGACAUAUUUCGAUUGGAUCAAUGUUCAUCCCAAUCGUAUGCUCAUGUCUCAAGAUAUCUAAACUUGCUCUAUGGUGCACGAGCAAUUACUUCUAA
rnacentral:rRNA from 1 species